rfam:Oryza meridionalis cultivar OR44 (W2112) chromosome 5, whole genome shotgun sequence.
AGAGCACCAGUGAUGUUUACAUCCACACUCAUCCUUGCACUAUGAGGUUACCAGUGAAGAAAUCAUUGGGGGAAUAUGUAGUCUGAGUUGCUC